GUAGGAACCUUUCUUCCAAUACAUUCCCAUUACAUAUCGGUCUGCAUCCUCGGGGCCAGAAUGUUCAAUAUUUAACAUUAAUUUCAUAGGGGUACUUCCUCCAGGCUUUCUCAAAGUCAUUCUUUGAAGGAGGGAUCUACCCUGAUUGUCUAUCUUAGAUAGAGCACUUUUGGGUUUAUAACCCCAGGCAGGCCCAGUAUUCCAUCCCGCAGUCCCCCAGUAGUUACAGUCAUA